GGACCGCACACAAGUCUGUUGGAAUACAGCGGCAUAGUGGUGAGACCCCCGUAUAUGGUGCGGACGCCCAGCGCUUUGUGAUACAUUUUCGAAGAGUCGAGUUGUUUGGGAAUGCAGCUCAAAUUGGGUGGUAAAUUCCAUCUAAAGCUAAAUAUUGGCGAGAGACCGAUAGCGAACAAGUACCGUGAGGGAAAGAUGAAAAGCACUUUGGAAAGAGAGUUAACAGUACGUGAAAUUGUUGGAAGGGAAACGCUUGAAGUCAGACUUGCUUGCCGAGCAAUCGGUUUGCAGGCCAGCAUCAGUUUUCCGGGAUGGAUAAUGGUAAAGAGAAGGUAGCAGUUUCGGCUGUGUUAUAGCUCUCUACUGGAUACAUCCUGGGGGACUGAGGAACGCAGUGUGCCUUUGGCGGGGGUUUCGACCUCUUCACACUUAGGAUGCUGGUGGAAUGGCUUUAAACGACCCGUCUUGAACCCCGGGACACCCACGGCCU
rnacentral:rRNA from 1 species